rnacentral:lncRNA from 1 species
AUCCUCAAUUCAGUCACAUAUUGCAGAAUGUCUGGACACAAAAGUGCAAUGGGACUCCUAUGCAGCAGGUUUGGAGGAAGCUUAAGUGUCUAAAAGAGCAUCUUAAAGAAUUAAAUGCCUAUAUGGCCACUUACAAACAGAGACUUGUGCAGGCCAGAGAACACCUGGACAUCAUACAGAAUCAGCUGCAGACUAACCUUCUAUCACAGGUUUUAUUUGCUGAAGAAAAAACAACUCUACAG